UUAUCCUGUACUGUUUCUUACUAUCUUCAGCAUUUAGAACUGUAGGCAGAUAGCGUACAUUCAUUCACCGGUUGAUCCCACUGCUCCGUGACUUAUUGGGGUAGUGCUGUUACCUAAGCAAGAUUCUUUGACUUGUGGUUGCUUCUUCUAGUAAGCUUAACAUGGUUCUUCAUCCAGGACCAUGUCGAUAUCUUGUACUCCCUCCGUUCCUCAAUCUAGUGCGCAUAGUUUGCAGCACACGUACCAAUGUAUGUGCUGGCGGAGGCUUUUGGACGAGAAAGCCCUCAGCCCUCACACGCUUUGUCCCACUCCCAGCCCAUGCCAUAUGUGCCCAAGUAGUACUACAGUACUAGUACUAAGUGGAGAAGAAAGUGGCAGCGUGCCGUCGCUGCGCCGGCGGCGUGCCCUCGUAACUCGCUGGACGCGGAGAUGCCGGCCGAGGACGCGGCAACGCCGGCAGCGACGAAGGCAUGCUAGCCGGGGACAGAGUUACAGCGGAGAUGCUGACCGCGGACGUGGGCAUGCAGGCCGUGUAUGCGGUGACACCGGAGACGCCGACGGUGGACUUGGUGACGCCGGGGUCGUGUCAGGGGGGGACGCACGAGGUUAGGACUUGCCAGAAGAUCGCGGUGUCAAGCUAGCCAACGAGCAGUCAGUGACGCCGGCGGGAGCCAACCUUCCGUUGUGGUCAACGUGGACAAAGGGCAUGCCUCCUGUGUGUACAGGGGGUCCAGCCAGCCCCUAUCGCCGCCAUUGUCAGGCGGCUCCCCAUCUUCUUGCCCGUGGCACCAUACAUCAUCUUCUUCCUCCAUCUUGAACUUCCACCGCCGCUGCUUGAAUCCCGCUGGGCCGCUGCAGUCCUGACCACCUGGACGGCCAGCAUCGCCUUCUCCGACGGCGGCACAAGCAUCCUCCUCUCCACCCCCCGCCUCCUCCGUCCAUCACGCCACUGAACGCCGCGGCGGCGCCGCCUCCACCACCUCUGACCUCUUCCCCCGCCAUGAUCUCUUCAAAGGAUAGCAGUCGCGUGCGCUAGGCGAGUAGAUCGGCGAUGUGGAGUUCAAUCGAGAUGCAUCUGCGGGAGGAGGGGAUAAAGCAAACAGAGGAAGGAGCGAGCGGAGGACGAAGCGCGUCCUUGCGGUCUGGGGUUAGAAUCGUCCAGAAUCGCCCACGGGUGCUAAUGCGCACUACAAAGUGGAAUUUUCGUCAAAAUUUUAUACGCACUAGAUUGAGGAACGGAGGGAGUAGUUUAAGCGGGUGACUGGGUAGUAACUGACAUUGUUCUAGCUGAAGCAGGUUGGCCUCAUGCUGUUGAUUCCAAAUGCCUAGCACAUCACUGUGUUGAUUUGCGUAAUUAUAUUGAAGUGCAGCGAUAGAGUAUGGCUACACCACCAAGAAGAGCGACAUGUACAGCUACAGCGUGAUGCUCCUGGAGAUCUUGAGCGGGCGGACGGAGUGUCAUCGAGCCGAUGGUCAGCGACAGCCUGCACACUGGAGUGUGCGAAGAUGGGGAGCCACAAGCCGGCAGUGAACAUUCUGGGCCCCAAGCUGCGUGGCAUGCCAGACCAGCUGGUCCAGGAGAUGCCGCAUGCGCUGGGCAUUGCCAUCUUCUGGGUGAAGCCGGCGCCGGAAGGAGGCUGUGGCCUUCCUCAAGGAGGCGAGGAGUGACCUAAGACUGGCAGCGAGGAGGCUGACUAGAGCAUCUUUGUGGUGGAUUCAGUGGCGCAUCUUGUACAAGAAAUGGAGGGACAUCAGGAGAUGAUAUGGGAAAGGAAAAUGAGUAGGAUUUUCAUAAUUGCCUAACUAGCUUUGGUUAGGGGUUUCUUGUACAGUUUGAGAUGACGUUGUAGCUCAUUCUGGGGAACUUGAAUGGGAAAUUUCAAUGUUAUUA